UAAAGGAUGGCAGAUAAAUGCCUAGACUUUAAGCGUCUAUCAUGACUUAGGUCUCCUUUAU
rnacentral:tRNA from 1 species